AGAUCGCCUCCCAUAGCCUCCACAUCCACAAGGUCCUGCUUGACUGCGACGACGUCCAGGCCGAUGCCCUCAUCGUGGAUCGACUCGCCUCGCUCUAGAAGGAGUGGCCCCUCUGGAGUUGAAUAUGCAGUUAUAACCAAUUUUUACCCCUUUUAUCCUAGAAGAGUU